rnacentral:rRNA from 1 species
GACGAACGCUGGCGGCGUGCUUAACACAUGCAAGUCGAGCGGUAAAGGCCCUUUCGGGGGUACACGAGCGGCGAACGGGUGAGUAACACGUGGGUGACCUGCCCUCAGCUCUGGGAGUAAAGCCUGGGAAACUGGGUCUAAUACUGGAUAUGACUCCACGGUGCAUGUCGUGGGGUGGAAAGCCUUGUGCGGCUGAGGAUGGGCCCGCGGCCUAUCAGCUUGUUGGUGGGGG